GAGGCGGCCGCCAGCCUCCUGCAUGGUGACGUAGCCCUUGGUGAUGUACUUCUGGAUGAGCGGGAAGAGGAAGCGGAACACCGGGGUGUGGUUGCGGAACAGCGGGGUGUCGGCGAUGCAGCCGGGGUACAUGGUGGAGAAGGUCACCCCGGUUUGCUCGUGCCACCUGUUGGACAUCUCCUUGACGGUGAGGAUGUUGCACAGCUUGGCGUCCUUGUACGCCUUGGGUCCGAUGAAGCGAUCGCCGUCGAUCAUGGCGUUGGCGUUGCGAUCGCCGUUGAGGCCCGCGGCGAGGCCGGACAUGUCUCCGAGGUUAGCGCGCGGCGGCACCUGGCCCGCG
rnacentral:lncRNA from 1 species